rfam:Beta vulgaris subsp. vulgaris Bvchr2.sca018.con0001.1, whole genome shotgun sequence.
GAGCAGUGAUGUUAGCUGUGCCAAAGUGGAUGAAGGGUUCUUCCACAUUAAUCUGAACCACCGGAUGAGAAAAGGUGCUCCUGAGCUC